UGCAAGUCCACGGAGUGCUGCC
rnacentral:piRNA from 1 species